CCAGCACUUUGGGAGGCUGAGGCGGGCGGAUCACAAGGUCAGGAGAUCGAGACCAUCCUGGCUAACACGGUGAAACCCCAUCUCUACUAAAAAUACAAAAAACUAGCCAGGCGUGGUGGCGGGCGCCUGUAGUCCCAGCUACUCGGGAGGCUGAGGCAGGAGAAUGGCGUGAACUGGGGAGGCGGAGCUUGCAGUGAGCCGAGAUCCCGCCACUGCAC
rnacentral:lncRNA from 1 species